GAUGAAGAACGUAGCGAAAUGCGAUACGUAAUGUGAAUUGCAGAAUUCAGUGAAUCAUCGAAUCUUUGAACGCAUAUUGCGCUCUUUGGUAUUCCGAAGAGCAUGCUUGUUUGAGUAUCAGUAAACACCUCAACCUCUUCUUGAUUUUUCAAAAGGAGGGUGGACUUGAGCUAUCCCAACAACCUUUACCGGUCGGCGGGCGGCUUGAAAUGCAGGUGCAGCUGGACUUUUAUCUGAGCUAAAAGCAUAUCUAUUUAGUCCUCGUCAAACAGGAUUAUUACUUUUGCUGCAGCUAACAUAAAGGAUAAUUGUCCUCUUUGCUGACUGAUGCAGGAUUUUACGACACUUUAUGUGUUGUUCAACUCGAUCUCAAAUCAAGUAAGACUACCCGCUGAACUUAAGCAUAUCAAUAAGCGGAGA
rnacentral:misc_RNA from 1 species